CCGCCCCUUUGAGAACUGGGAGCGCGCCUAAAGAGAUGGUGAAGCCCUCCAGGGUGUAGGCCUAGCGGAGCACCCUGGCAACGCGUGUAGACGGAGUGUGGGAGGAGGGGCCUUUUGCUUACCGUUGGCCUGUUUGAGAGAUCUGUGUCUCUGAACCUGGUCUCCGGAGUCAUGCAUGCAAAUGCCCCAGCACGUUGGCCUCCGUCGUCCUCACCCCCAAGGGACCCCCUGUUCCAUCUGGCACCUCGAACAGGGACCCCGGCAUGCUCCUGGAUGGAAGGUGAGAAAAAUCCCGCAUGGAUUCCUGCCCAUAACAUCAAACCCUGCACCACCAGCGAUGAGCUGUAGACCACCAUCACCAUCACCCCCGGUAGAGGAAAUGGAGGACCUGACCAUAGAGGACAACCAGCCCCAGCGGCGGAGACAACCAAGACACCGACGGGCACACAACAUUACCUGGGGUGGGAUUUAUGCAGGCCCAAUACAUGUAUUAAUCAAAGAGCCUUCACCGGCCUAAAAGGGGCCCGCCUGUAUAACGGCACCUGGAAAAAGCCGACAAGUAGAUGGGAGAACAAUGUCGCAAUCAACCCCAAUGCCACUCAUAGUUUUAGUUACUGGCCCUGUGUGAGACCCGCCUCCUUCUUCUUACAAAGCAAUUAUAGCGCUUUUACUUGUACCCAGCAAUCUUGUGUACUAUCUAAUUGCUGGAAUCUGUUGAGUUUAGUUCCUUAAGUGAUGCCCUCAGCCGUCUAACCUCCUGGUUAAAUCCUGCUAAUAUAUUCAUAUGGGCCGUCCUAGCAUCAGGAGGCCUCCUUGCAUUCUGCUUGUUUCGUUGCUUUUACUCCAUGAUCCAAAGAAUAGAUGCACAGCAAGCUAUGAUUGUCCACAUCCAGCAGGCACUUAUAAAAAAGGAAGGGGGAGAUGUGGGUAGAGCUCAAGAGAUUUAUCUCAGUGCUGCGGCUGAUGCAACUCUGUGAGCACACUCCAGUGAACAUGCUUCCUUGGCACACCAGAAAGUGGCAACGCCUGCCUGACAAAUCUCCAAGAGCCACCUACUCUUAGCCCCGACCCUCACACCCAUUGGAUAACAUAGCAAGUGUGUCCCUGUUUUAUUGGCAGCUUACCCCUUUUUAUACGGUUGUACUUCCCCAAUAAACUUAGAUCUGUGUCUCUGAA